AUGGCAAGUAAACUAGUGGUCCUGUGCGCUAUACUACACAACAUCGCGGUAAGGAGUAGCGUAGAGCUUCCUCAGACAGAGGAAUUGCCUGAUGAGGAGCCAGGGGUUGUCCGACACUUCGGUGGGGGGAGUGUUACACGGAGGGGGAGCCAAGUCAGGGCAAGCAUUGUUGCGGAAUAUUUCAGCUGAAUGAUCACACAAACUGUGGACGACCACAACGGCAAGCAACACAUGAGGCACCAUCUCAGCCCCCUUCCCCUUCUCACUCCCCCU